UACGAAGGGGGCUAGCGUUGCUCGGAAUCACUGGGCGUAAAGGGUGCGUAGGCGGGUUUUUAAGUCAGGGGUGAAAUCCUGGAGCUCAACUCCAGAACUGCCUUUGAUACUGAAGAUCUUGAGUCCGGGAGAGGUGAGUGGAACUGCGAGUGUAGAGGUGAAAUUCGUAGGUAUUCGCAAGAACACCAGUGGCGAAGGCGGCUCACUGGCCCGAUACUGACGCUGAGGCACGAAAGCGUGGGGAGCAAACAGG
rnacentral:rRNA from 1 species